rnacentral:rRNA from 1 species
AGCAGCCGCGGUAAUUCCAGCUCCAAUAGCGUAUAUUAAAGUUGUUGCAGUUAAAAAGCUCGUAGUUGAAUUUCGGGGUCUGUCCGUCGGUCGGGCUUCACAGUCCGUACUGGUGUGAUGGGUUCCUACCUUCUGAAUAACCGGCAUGCCAUUCAGUUGGUGCGCCGGGGAAGCAGAGCUAUUACCUUGAAAAAAUUAGAGUGCUUAAAGCAGGCUAGUGCUUGAAUAGAUUAGCAUGGAAUAAUAAAAAUAGGACGGCAUGGUUCUAUUUUGUUGGUUUCUAGGAUCACCGUAAUGAUUAAUAGGGAUAGUUGGGGGCAUUAGUAUUCAAUUGUCAGAGGUGAAAUUCUUGGAUUUAUUGAAGACUAACUUCUGCGAAAGCAUUUGCCAAGGAUGUUUUCAUUAAUCAAGAACGAAAGUUAGGGGAUCGAAGACGAUCAGAUACCGUCGUAGUCUUAACCAUAAACUAUGCCGACUAGG